UAUUAAAAAUUCUAUUCAUUUCUACCGUUAAAAAUUGGUGUGACUGAUAGAACACGUGUAUUUCAUUCAAACAUAUAGGAAUUAAUUUUUAACUGUAAGAAUAGAUAAAAUUUUUAAUA
rnacentral:pre_miRNA from 1 species